AGCUAUAUGAGUUAAUAUAUAGUUAUUUCUGCUCAAUGAUAUUUAAAUAGCCGCAGUACUCUGACUGUGCAAAGGUAGCAUAAUCAGUUGGCUUUUAAUUGGAGUCUGGAAUGAAGGAAAAUAUGGGUAGUGACUGUCUUAGCGCAUUUUUUUGAACUUAUUUAGCAAGUGCAAAUACUUGUGGUUUAACAAUAGACGAGAAGACCCUAGAAACUUGAACUAGUUUUUGUUGGGGCGACAGAAUUACAUUUAACUAAUCUUAUAUACAUGACGCAUUACUGAGAGUAUAAGUUACUCUAGGGAUAACAGCAUAAUUUUAACAGUUUGUGACCUCGAUGUUGGACUAGGUAUUAUACCCUUAAGACAGGGGUAUAUCAUGCUCUGUUCGAGCAAUAUUACCUACAU
rnacentral:rRNA from 1 species